rnacentral:rRNA from 1 species
CCUACGGGAGGCAGCAGUGGGGAAUUUUGGACAAUGGGCGCAAGCCUGAUCCAGCAAUGCCGCGUGCAGGAUGAAGGCCUUCGGGUUGUAAACUGCUUUUGUACGGAACGAAACGGUGAGCUCUAAUAAAGUUUGCUAAUGACGGUACCGUAAGAAUAAGCACCGGCUAACUACGUGCCAGCAGCCGCGGUAAUACGUAGGGUGCGAGCGUUAAUCGGAAUUACUGGGCGUAAAGCGUGCGCAGGCGGUUAUAUAAGACAGAUGUGAAAUCCCCGGGCUCAACCUGGGACCUGCAUUUGUGACUGUAUAGCUAGAGUACGGUAGAGGGGGAUGGAAUUCCGCGUGUAGCAGUGAAAUGCGUAGAUAUGCGGAGGAACACCGAUGGCGAAGGCAAUCCCCUGGACCUGUACUGACGCUCAUGCACGAAAGCGUGGGGAGCAAACAGGAUUAGAUACCCUGGUAGUCCACGCCCUAAACGAUGUCAACUGGUUGUUGGGUCUUCACUGACUCAGUAACGAAGCUAACGCGUGAAGUUGACCGCCUGGGGAGUACGGCCGCAAGUUGAAACUUAAAUGAAUUGACGGCUGAGAGNGCGACGACGACACGAGGGAGGAGG